rnacentral:rRNA from 1 species
CACGCUGUAAACGAUNUCGACUUGGAGGUUGUGCCCUUGAGGCGUGGCUUCCGGAGCUAACGCGUUAANUCGACCGCCUGGGGAGUACGGCCGCAAGGUUAAAACUCAAAUGAAUUGACGGGGGCCCGCACAAGCGGUGGAGCAUGUGGUUUAAUUCGAUGCAACGCGAAGAACCUUACCUACUCUUGACAUCCACGGAACUUGCCAGAGAUGGCUUGGUGCCUUCGGGAACCGUGAGACAGGUGCUGCAUGGCUGUCGUCAGCUCGUGUUGUGAAAUGUUGGGUUAAGUCCCGCAACGAGCGCAACCCUUAUCCUUUGUUGCCAGCACUUCGGGUGGGAACUCAAAGGAGACUGCCGGUGAUAAACCGGAGGAAGGUGGGGAUGACGUCAAGUCAUCAUGGCCCUUACGAGUAGGGCUACACACGUGCUACAAUGGCGUAUACAAAGAGAAGCAAACUCGCGAGAGCCAGCGGACCUCAUAAAGUACGUCGUAGUCCGGAUUGGAGUCUGCAACUCGACUCCAUGAAGUCGGAAUCGCUAGUAAUCGUAGAUCAGAAUGCUACGGUGAAUACGUUCCCGGGCCUUGUACACACCGCCCGUCACACCAUGGGAGUGGGUUGCAAAAGAAGUAGGUAGCUUAACCUUCGGGAGGGCGCUUACCACUUUGUGAUUCAUGACUGGGGUG